rnacentral:rRNA from 1 species
UACGUAGGGUGCGAGCGUUAAUCGGAAUUACUGGGCGUAAAGCGUGCGCAGGCGGUUCGUUGUGUCGGCGGUGAAAGCCCCGGGCUCAACCUGGGAAUGGCCGUUGAAACUGGCGAACUGGAGUGUGGCAGAGGGGGGUGGAAUUCCGCGUGUAGCAGUGAAAUGCGUAGAGAUCCGGAGGAACCCCAGAGGCGAAGGCGGCGCUCUGGCUCAGCCCUGACGCUCAGACACGACAGCAUGGGGAGCGAACGGG